rnacentral:misc_RNA from 1 species
CUGGCCUUAAAAGUAUUAGCUGACCCUUGUUUGUGGGAUUGGUUCUACUCAGCGUGAUAAUUUAUGACCGCUGAGGACAUCUUUCGGGAUGGCCAGCUCUGCCUUGGAUCGCUUCUAAUCCUGGUAUUUGGAGUCCGCUCCUUAUCCUUAACUUUUUCAACUUUGACCUCGAAUCAGGUGGGACUACCCGCUGAACUUAA